CUAAAUUUAGUAUUUUUACGUCAUUUUUUCAUGAUGAAAGGGUGUACGAUA
rnacentral:tRNA from 1 species